UUUUUACACUUGAUCUCUGAACUUCAGGUAAGUUCUUGUGUUGACAAGUUUAUUCGCUGAUGCA
rfam:Cicer arietinum chromosome Ca8, whole genome shotgun sequence.